rnacentral:lncRNA from 1 species
AUGGGCCUAACUGGGUAUAUCUCUCCUCCGUGCAACUACUUGGGUGGGACAGCGUGGGGACCUGACUCCUUGGGGCUUGUACGAUUCUCAGGUGACAGCAGAGAAGGCCAGGUACCCCUGUACUCGGUGCCCUUUGGGCCCAGGGGCUUUUGGGAGAGUCAGACUCUAAUGUACCCUAAUUUCAGAAAGAACAGUCAGGGGCAUUCCCUGUCCACCAGGACCUCCCCGCGCAUCCCGGAGCCCCCAGGGCAGCGACGUGGGGAUCCUGCCACCACAUUUGCCCCCCUGCCGUCCCUUCUUCCCUCUCCCCUCGCCUGCGGGUCUGCAGCGGCUAGGGGAGAGCUCAAGUCUCCCGUGGUCCAGCUUCGCACAUCUGGCCCGCAGCUGGGACCCGCCCACUUGGAACUGCUGUGGACCCAGCGCCCUCUGUUGGUGCCUAGCGGCGGCGCACCAGCUUUCCGCCUGGACCGCCGCCCUCCUGGGGUCUCGCUCCAGUUCCAAGGAUUUCGGGUUCCACCCAUUCGGCGCCCCAUGCCCUUGCGUAUACCCCACUCUCUGCCUCACGUCGCUCCCAAAUCCGACUCCUUAGGCUUUUUGCUGUCCACCGGCCGAUGCCUCGCUGACUCUCUUUCCUCGGUCCCUGUGUGCUUAAAACCGUGUCCGUGGGACCCAGCUGUCACCCAACCUCCCAUCUCAGUCGUUCAGGCUUCGAGGGCAAGUACUGUGGUGAGGUCUCUCUGCGCCCAACAUAAAAGUCCGCAAAUAGGAACAUAAUUACAUAAAUCGCUGCCCAUCUGCUGGAUGGAAUUCCUCGCUGUGCCCUUAAAAAUGAGGUGGUUGGAAGUAUAUUUAGGGACUGAGACUGUCUGCUCUUCAUCUAGGAGAGGGUGGGUGUGCAAGAUGCAAAAUAGCACAAGGAAGGAUCCCUCCUUUAUUGCAACAAAAAAAAUUAUAGAUGUGAGUUGCAUUUAUAAAGUCAUUAAAAUAGGCAGCAAAAUGCUUACAUU